rnacentral:rRNA from 1 species
UACAGAGACUGCAAGCGUUAUUCGGAUUCACUGGGCGUAAAGGGUGCGCAGGCGGCCAAGUGUGUGAGGCGUGAAAGCCUGGAGCUUAACUCCAGAAUUGCGUCCAAAACUACGCGACUAGAGUACCGGAGAGGAUAGCGGAAUUCACGGUGUAGCAGUGAAAUGCGUAGAUAUCGUGAAGAACACCAGCGGCGAAGGCGGCUAUCUGGAAGGUAACUGACGCUCAGGCACGAAAGCGUGGGGAGCAAAAGGGAUUAGAUACCCGUGUAGU